CACGUAGGGUGCGAGCGUUGUCCGGAAUUAUUGGGCGUAAAGAGCUCGUAGGAGGUGUGUCGCGUCGGCCGUGAAAACCUGCAGCUUAACUGUGGGCUUGCGGUCGAUACGGGCAUCACUGGAGUUCGGCAGGGGAGACUGGAAUUCCUGGUGUAGCGGUGAAAUGCGCAGAUAUCAGGAGGAACACCGGUGGCGAAGGCGGGUCUCUGGGCCGAUACUGACGCUGAGGAGCGAAAGCGUGGGGAGCGAACAGG
rnacentral:rRNA from 1 species